rnacentral:rRNA from 1 species
AUACGGAGGAUCCGAGCGUUAUCCGGAUUUAUUGGGUUUAAAGGGUGCGCAGGCGGCCAUUCAAGUCAGCGGUUAAAUCGUGGGGCUCAACCCCAUUCUGCCGUUGAUACUGGGUGGCGUGAUUGCGGUCGAGGUUGGCGGAAUUCGUUGUGUAGCGGUGAAAUGCAUAGAUAUGACGAAGAACACCGAUUGCGUAGGCAGCUGACCAGAGCGCAAAUGACGCUCAUGCACGAAAGUGCGGGGAUCGAACAGGAUUAGAUACCCUGGUAGUCCGCACAGUAAACGAUGAAUACUUGUUUUCGGCGAUAGAAUGUCGGAGGCAAAGCGAAAGCGAUAAGUAUUCCACCUGGGGAGUACGCCGGCAACGGUGAAACUCAAAUGAAUUGACGGGG